CCCUUAGAUGUUCUGGGCCGCACGCACGCUACACUGAUGCAUUCAACGAGUCUAAAACCUGCUCUGAUAGGGGUGGGUAAUCUUUUGAAUGUGCAUCGUGAUUGGGAUAGAUGAUUGCAAUUCUUCAUCUUCAACGAGGAAUGCCUAGUAAACGCAAGUCAUCAGCUUGCAUUGAUUACGUCCCUGCCCUUUGUACACACCGCCCGUCGCUCCUACCGAUUGAAUGUUCCGAUGAAUACCAUGGACUGAGAGUAUGAAUGGGUUCGCCUAUUUCUGCUUCUCGGGAAGUGGAGUAAAUCUUAACAUUUAGAGGAAGGAGAAGUCGUAACA
rnacentral:rRNA from 1 species